UAUCUUGUCAUAAUUGACUUGCAAAUUCAUUAGAUAUAUAAAUCGGGUAAUGGAAAUGAUUACAAGUGAGAACUCAACUCAAUUAAGCUUGCAUCCCUAUUAUGGUACAAGUAGGCUAGACCUGAACAUGGGCUGAAACCGCUAGUUUGGCCUGAUUCUGGUUCAAAAAUGGUUUCAAUUCAAAACGGUUUUCAUUCGAAACAGCUUUUGUUUCUGCCCUUGUAUUAUCAAACUAUAAUAAAUUUUUAGACCUCAUUUAUAAGCCAAAUAAUUUAGUUUUUGACGUAAAAAAAUUAAAAAGACUUUCGGAACUGCGGGUUUGAAUUGACCUACUUUGGGAUCAGUUCAAGAAGGGAGGUGUGGGACUCUUGAAUCUGGUUUAACAUCGUCCUCCAAUAAUGCUAUUACGAUGCUAGGAUAUUAAUGUCACUAAGGCGGAGGAAAGGA
rnacentral:misc_RNA from 1 species